UUCAUUGCUUCAUGAGGCUUCAUUUGCCCAUCACUACCACUAGGAUAUCAGUGCAACAUGCACCAGCCGCCGCCAGCAAUUUGUUGCCUUUCGCUGCCAGAGCCCACAGGACGCGAGCCACACAGUGGGAGAACAAAGACGACACUUGCCUGAAUGAACGCCGCAGCUCCUUGUAUACACCUCUCCCACUUUAAGAACAGAAAUGUCUCACCUGGAAACUAUUUGUGUAGGAUUAUGUAUAUUUCUAUAUCACUACACAUUGAACACUGCAUUGCAUUCUCUUACACUCCAUGUUGAUGAUCCACACACCUGUCAGUUUCCACUGAUGUGAUUGUCAUGAGUUGCUCACAUACAAAAUCAUAGCUUCACGAUGCAGUCUGCUUGUGUGGAAAUAACAGUAAUCUUAUUACUUUUUUGCAAGUGUAAUCUCUUACAUUACUCAUUGCUUGAAAAAAGUAAUCAGUUUACAGUAAAAGUUGCUUCUAACAUGUUACUGCAUUGGUUUUAGAGUGUUAUGUAGAACCAAGUUAAUAAUUAAUCACUGGAGAGGAAACUGUAAAAUAAAAUGUAUUCACACUCAAGGCAGCAGAUACACUGGUGUAUGUGGUGUCAACAUUGGCACUUCAGAGAACUUUGACUGUUCUGCAGAGUAGGUCUGCAGGUGGUGGUUGUUACAGGGCACACAAAUAAAGCCUAAAUGAAGGGAAAUUGUUCAAACAAAGAAGCAGGAUUUUGUAUGUAUUCUAGAUAAAAACCUUCCCUCUUCUAUUUACUAUGUAGAAGAGGGAAACAUAUUUUUUUCAAAUCAAGCAACUUUUUCAGGUUUUAUAACAUGCUGUAUUGUGAGAUUGAUGGACAAGUGUUAACUGUCUGGAUAGGUUCUGUAUACCAAUUUGUAAGCAACAUGUAUGUAGCAACAUUUUAAGUUGGACAGAUUUGCAGUGUGUUGAAAGGUGGACUGCCCAGGCAGAAGUGGAUUAUAGUGGAAGCUGCCCUGACUGAUGGCUGUUUUGUGUGAAUCUCCAUUCAGCCAGUGGCCCUCUCACUGUGCUCCGUAUCUUUACAUUGUGAAGUGUUCCCCCGCCUCAUUCACUAAUCCCCUUGUCCAUAUCUGCUCCGGCAGGGACUUCUUCUGCCUACAUGCAUGGUUAACAAUGAUUAUACCUACAGAUUUUCACUCAAACAUCUUCUCACACUCAGCCCUUUGUGGCAUCAACAUAUCUAGGUAGGUGAAAAUAUUUCCCACUGUAUUUCCACCCAUAGCAAUACAAUAUUAACACACUGUUGCUACAGCUUCACACAUUUUAUUUGAGAGGAGUGUCUGCAUACAGUAAAAGUGUUAAUUUGACUAAAAGGAGGUAGUUGUACGGUUUUGGACAUUGGUACUUCCAAGCAUUGAAGUGCCAACAUACAACAUAUGGCUCCUACACAGUGGCUUAUGCAAAGUGUUCCUCUUGACAUCUCCAACAUAAUUUCUAGCCAACAUUUCUUGUUAGUGUGGAUACACUUUGAAUGGGAACCAGCACUGAGGCCCUCCAGUUCCUCAUGUAGCAAUGCUAGAUAAUGAUGUCUGUUGAGAGAUAUUCUUGGAAGUCAUCUAGCAUGUAGACCAUGCAAUAUAUAAAAUUCAAGACCUCCAACCUUUGGUCCAGGAUAUGGUGGUAUUUGAUGUUGCUGGCCAACAAUCCUUGCCCCCGCUUCUGUCGGAGAUUCCGAGUCACCUGUUCUGGGUUCCUGCGCUGCUGUCACGGAGGAGACGUCAUCGUCGUUGCGGCUCUCGGGUGCCUCGGCAUUUCUCGGAUCCCGUUGAUGUCUGCUUGGUGCCCGUGGUCGGCGUUGAUGCCCCUCGACACCGCCAUCCUUGCACUUCCAGGCUCAACAUUCGCCGACGGUGUCUCCAAACCCUGAAACCGCUGUGCCGGGUUUCCCGACCUGUUGUAGCCCAUGCUCCAGUUCCUGUCAGGAUUGGCCUGGUAAACGCCAGGUCUCUUGGGAAUAAAACUUUUAUUCUUCGGGACUUUUUCAGUUACCAAAACCUGGAUUUUCUGUGUGUGACUAAGACGUGGCUGAGUGUUGGUGAGUCCAGUUCUCUAUCUGAGCUUUUACCAGCGGACUGUUCUUAUUUUAAUUCACCACGGGCUUCAGGGAGAGGGGGAGGCACAGCGACUGUUUAUAAACGGGACUACAAAUGUAAGCUGUGUUUUCUACAGACGUCUUUCCCCAGCUUUGAGUUUACGUCAUUUGAAAUGAGACACGUAAACCCAGUUUUCUGURCUGUCGUUUACUGGCCCCCCAAAUAUAAWAAGGA